GUCAACUACAUGGGCAAGCUGAUGAGUCCCGUUGCCAUGACGCAGUUCAUGUCGGGCGUAAUGGUUGCCUGCUGGACGCUGUUCCAAGCCACAUACAGUCCUGAUGACACUACUGUUUACAAAUGCGCUGCUUGGCUUCCGACGCCCACUCUGCAAAUAUUUAUGUACUGCUGGGGAGGCCACAGCAUCAUGGAGAAGGUAUGUGUUGCAAUCCUGGUAAACACUUGAUGCCUCGCAGACGUCGCUAGAAGUGCAACGCAGAACGCAGCAGCUCAUUUCCAAUUUUUCAAUGAACAGCACAAUUGUUUUGGAUCCACUUGCGGCCUCCUAC